rnacentral:rRNA from 1 species
GAUGAACGCUGGCGGCGUGCCUAAUACAUGCAAGUCGAGCGAACAGACGAGGAGCUUGCUCCUCUGACGUUAGCGGCGGACGGGUGAGUAACACGUGGAUAACCUACCUAUAAGACUGGGAUAACUUCGGGAAACCGGAGCUAAUACCGGAUAAUAUAUUGAACCGCAUGGUUCAAUAGUGAAUGACGGUUUUGCUGUCACUUAUAGAUGGAUCCGCGCCGCAUUAGCUAGUUGGUAAGGUAACGGCUUACCAAGGCAACGAUGCGUAGCCGACCUGAGAGGGUGAUCGGCCACCCUGGAACUGAGACACGGUCCAGACUCCUACGGGAGGCAGCAGUAGGGAAUCUUCCGCAAUGGGCGAAAGCCUGACGGAGCAACGCCGCGUGAGUGAUGAAGGUCUUCGGAUCGUAAAACUCUGUUAUUAGGGAAGAACAAAUGUGUAAGUAACUAUGCACGUCUUGACGGUACCUAAUCAGAAAGCCACGGCUAACUACGUG